rnacentral:rRNA from 1 species
GAUGAACGCUGGCGGCGUGCCUAAUACAUGCAAGUAGAACGCUGAAGGAGGAGCUUGCUCUUUCCGGAUGAGUUGCGAACGGGUGAGUAACGCGUAGGUAACCUGCCUGGUAGCGGGGGAUAACUAUUGGAAACGAUAGCUAAUACCGCAUAACAGUAGAUAUUGCAUGAUAUUUGCUUGAAAGGGGCAAUUGCUCCACUACCAGAUGGACCUGCGUUGUAUUAGCUAGUUGGUGAGGUAACGGCUCACCAAGGCGACGAUACAUAGCCGACCUGAGAGGGUGAUCGGCCACACUGGGACUGAGACACGGCCCAGACUCCUACGGGAGGCAGCAGUAGGGAAUCUUCGGCAAUGGACGGAAGUCUGACCGAGCAACGCCGCGUGAGUGAAGAAGGUUUUCGGAUCGUAAAGCUCUGUUGUAAGAGAAGAACGAGUGUGAGAGUGGAAAGUUCACACUGUGACGGUAUUUUACCAGAAAGGGACGGCUAACUACGUG